rnacentral:rRNA from 1 species
UACAGAGGUCUCAAGCGUUGUUCGGAUUCAUUGGGCGUAAAGGGUGCGUAGGCGGCGCGGUAAGUCGGGUGUGAAAUCUCGGAGCUUAACUCCGAAGCUGCACUCGAUACUGCCGUGCUUGAGGACUGGAGAGGAGACUGGAAUUUACGGUGUAGCGGUGAAAUGCGUAGAUAUCGUAAGGAAGACCAGUGGCGAAGGCGGGUCUCUGGACAGUUCCUGACGCUGAGGCACGAAGGCCAGGGGAGCAAACGGG